rnacentral:rRNA from 1 species
UACGUAGGGUGCAGGCGUUAAUCGGAAUUACUGGGCGUAAAGCGUGCGCAGGCGGCUCCUUAAGUCAGAGGUGAAAGCCCAGGGCUCAACCCUGGAAUUGCCUUUGAAACUGGUGGGCUUGAGUGCGGGAGAGGUGAGUGGAAUUCCCAGUGUAGAGGUGAAAUUCGUAGAUAUUGGGAAGAACACCGGUGGCGAAGGCGGCUCACUGGCCCGUUUCUGACGCUCAUGCACGACAGCGUGGGGAUCAAACAGG